rnacentral:rRNA from 1 species
AGCGAACGCUGGCGGCAGGCCUAACACAUGCAAGUCGAACGAACCUUUCGGGGUUAGUGGCGGACGGGUGAGUAACACGUGGGAACGUGCCUUUAGGUUCGGAUAACUCAGGGAAACUUGUGCUAAUACCGAAUGUGCCCUUCGGGGGAAAGAUUAAUCGCCUUUAGAGCGGCCCGCGUCUGAUUAGCUAGUUGGUUGAGGUAAUGGCUCACCACGGCGACGAUCAGUAGCUGGUCUGAGAGGAUGAUCAGCCACAUUGGGACUGAGACACGGCCCAAACUCCUACGGGAGGCAGCAGUGGGGAAUCUUGCGCAAUGGGCGAAAGCCUGACGCAGCCAUGCCGCGUGAAUGAUGAAGGUCUUAGGAUUGUAAAAUUCUUUCACCGGGGACGAUAAUGACGGUACCCGGAGAAGAAGCCCCGGCUAACUUCGUG